rnacentral:rRNA from 1 species
AUUGAACGCUGGCGGCAUGCCUUACACAUGCAAGUCGAACGGUAACAGGUCUUCGGAUGCUGACGAGUGGCGAACGGGUGAGUAAUACAUCGGAACGUGCCUAGUAGUGGGGGAUAACUACUCGAAAGAGUGGCUAAUACCGCAUGCGAUCUACGGAUGAAAGCAGGGGAUCGCAAGACCUUGUGCUACUAGAGCGGCCGGUGGCAGAUUAGGUAGUUGGUGGGAUAAAAGCUUACCUAGCCGAUGAUCUGUAGCUGGUCUGAGAGGACGAUCAGCCACACUGGGACUGAGACACGGCCCAGACUCCUACGGGAGGCAGCAGUGGGGAAUUUUGGACAAUGGGCGCAAGCCUGAUCCAGCAAUGCCGCGUGCAGGAUGAAGGCCUUCGGGUUGUAAACUGCUUUUGUACGGAACGAAAAGCCCUGGGUUAAUACCCUGGGGUCAUGACGGUACCGUAAGAAUAAGCACCGGCUAACUACGUGCCAGCCGCCGCCGUAA